CUAGAUGUGAAUAUCAAGAGUUCUCUCUUCAGAACAAGACUGCUCUUCUGCUAGCUUAGGAGACUUGUCAGCAGAAAUCAGAGAUGGGUUACACAUAUUUGGAAGAACACAUUAUUUCAGAAUUUUGUGAAGCUGUACGGAUGGUCUCCAGUACAACAUUGAAAAGAAGUGGUGAGAGAGCUAACAUCCUUGCCUUGUUCCUGAGUUUAUAAAGAGUUUCUAGAUGCAAACACACACACACACAAAAGUGUGCUUCCAGAAGAUGCUGCUGGGAAGGCCACUGCAUCCCUAGGGAGCCAAAUCAAAGCAUUUUGUCCUAAUGUGUCCGGAAUUGGUGGGUUCUUGGUCUCACUGACUUCAAGAAUGAAGCCGUGGACCCUCGCGGUGAGUGUUACAGUUCUUAAAGGCGGCGUGUCCGGUGUUUGUUCCUUCUGAUGUUCAUAUGUGUUCUGAGUUUCUUCCUUCUGGUGGGUUCGUGGUCUCGCUGGCUCAGGAGUGAAGUUGUAGACCUUUGCCGUGAGUGUUACAGCUCAUAAAGGCAGUGCGGACCCAAAGAGUGAGCAGCUGCAAGAUUUAUUCCAAAGAGCGAAAGAACAAAGCUUCCACAGUGUGGAAGGGGACCCGAGCAGGUUGUCACUGCUUCCUGGGGCAGCCUGCUUUUAUUCCCUUAUCUGGCCCCACCCACAUCCUGCUGAUUGGUCCAUUUUACAGAGAGCUGAUUGGUCUGUUUUACAGAGAACUGAUUGGUCUGUUCUGACAGGGUGCUGAUUGGUGUGUUUACAAUCCCUGAGCCAGACACAAAAAUUCUCCAAGUCCCCACAGAGCACUGAUUGGUGCAUUUACAAACCUUGAGCUAGACACAGAGUGCUGAUUGGUGCAUUUACAAUCCAUUAGCUAGACAUAAAGAUUCUCCAAGUCCCCACCACAUUAUCUACACACA
rnacentral:lncRNA from 1 species